rnacentral:rRNA from 1 species
CGAAGAACCUUACCAGGUCUUGACAUCCCUGACACCCGAGAGAUCGGCGUUCCCCUUCGGGGGACAGGGUGACAGGUGGUGCAUGGUUGUCGUCAGCUCGUGUCGUGAGAUGUUGGGUUAAGUCCCGCAACGAGCGCAACCCUCGACCUUAGUUGCCAGCAUUCAGUUGGGCACUCUAAGGUGACUGCCGGCUAAAAGUCGGAGGAAGGUGGGGAUGACGUCAAAUCAUCAUGCCCCUUAUGACCUGGGCUACACACGUGCUACAAUGGGCGGUACAAAGGGUCGCGAACCCGCGAGGGGGAGCCAAUCCCAAAAAGCCGCUCUCAGUUCGGAUUGCAGGCUGCAACUCGCCUGCAUGAAGUCGGAAUCGCUAGUAAUCGCAGGUCAGCAUACUGCGGUGAAUACGUUCCCGGGCCUU